UAAGGAAUAUUGGUCAAUGGACGCAAGUCUGAACCAGCCAUGCCGCGUGAAGGAUGAAGGUCCUCUGGAGUGUAAACUUCUUUUAUCUGGGACGAAAACGGGAUUUUUAUCUCAAUUGACGGUACCAGAGGAAUAAGCACCGGCUAACUCCGUGCCAGCAGCCGCGGUAAUACGGAGGGUGCGAGCGUUAUCCGGAUUUACUGGGUUUAAAGGGUGCGUAGGUGGGCUUAUAAGUCAGUGGUGAAAUCUCCGAGCUUAACUUGGAAACUGCCGUUGANACUAUAGGUCUUGAAUUAUCUGGAGGUAAGCGGAAUAUGUCAUGUAGCGGUGAAAUGCUUAGAUAUGACAUAGAACACCAAUUGCGAAGGCAGCUUACUACAUAUAAAUUGACGCUGAGGCACGAAAGCGUGGGGAUCAAACAG
rnacentral:rRNA from 1 species